UCCGGCGAUCAUAGCGGUAGGGAAACACCUCUUCCCAUUCCGAACAGAGAAGUUAAGCCUACCCACGCCGAUGGUACUGCACCGGAGACGGUGUGGGAGAGUAGGUCAUCGCCGGGG
rnacentral:rRNA from 1 species